rnacentral:rRNA from 1 species
GAUUUCUGGUACGAUAUGCCUGGCCCGUCCUCGUCAGAGGCACGAGUGCUGGUGUGUGUCUGCCAUCUUUCUAGAGAGCGGCACUUCCCUUCAUUGGAGAGGUGUCCGUCAUCUAGAUCUUUUACUUUGAAAAAAUUAGAGUGUUUAAAGCAGGCUUGCGCUAUGAAUACAUUAGCAUGGAAUAAUAAUUUAGGACUUUAUUCCUAUUUAUUGGUUUCUGGAGUAGAGUAAUGAUUGAUAGGGAUAGUUGGGGGUGCUAGUAUUCAUCGGCCAGAGGUGAAAUUCUUGGAUUCGAUGAAGACUAACUAAUGCGAAAGCAUU